CAGCAGCCGCGGUAAUACGAAGGGGGCUAGCGUUGUUCGGAAUUACUGGGCGUAAAGCGCACGUAGGCGGAUAUUUAAGUCAGGGGUGAAAUCCCGCAGCUCAACUGCGGAACUGCCUUUGAUACUGGGUAUCUUGAGUAUGGAAGAGGUUAGUGGAAUUGCGAGUGUAGAGGUGAAAUUCGUAGAUAUUCGCAGGAACACCAGUGGCGAAGGCGGCUAACUGGUCCAUAACUGACGCUGAGGUGCGAAAGCGUGGGGAGCAAACAGGAUUAGAGACCCCAGUAGUCCCUGUCUCUUAUAC
rnacentral:rRNA from 1 species